rnacentral:rRNA from 1 species
UACGUAGGGUGCGAGCGUUGUCCGGAAUUAUUGGGCGUAAAGAGCUUGUAGGCGGUUUGUCGCGUCUGCUGUGAAAAUCCGGGGCUCAACCCCGGACUUGCAGUGGGUACGGGCAGACUAGAGUGUGGUAGGGGAGACUGGAAUUCCUGGUGUAGCGGUGAAAUGCGCAGAUAUCAGGAGGAACACCGAUGGCGAAGGCAGGUCUCUGGGCCAACUACUGA